GACGAACGCUGGCGGCGUGCUUAACACAUGCAAGUCGAACGGAAAGGCCCUGCUUGCAGGGUACUCGAGUGGCGAACGGGUGAGUAACACGUGGGUGAUCUGCCCUGCACUUCGGGAUAAGCCUUGGAAACUGGGUCUAAUACCGGAUAGGAGCCAUUAUUAGUGGGAUGGUUGGAAAGUUUUUUCGGUGUAGGAUGAGCUCGCGGCCUAUCAGCUUGUUGGUUGGGUAAUGGCCUACCAAGGCGGCGACGUGUAGCCGGCCUGAGAGGGUGGACGGCCACCUUGGGUCUGAGAUACGGCCCCGACUCCUACGAGAGGCAGCAGUGGGGAAUAUUGCACCAUGGGCGCCAGCCUGAUGCAGAGACGCCGCGUGGGGGAUGACGGCCUUCGGGUUGUAAACUCCUUUCGCUAGGGAAGAAGCUUUUUGUGACGGUACCUAGAUAAGAAGCACCGGCUAACUACGUG
rnacentral:rRNA from 1 species